ACCAAUACAAAUUGCAUUCUAAGAAAUUUUAUCAGAUAAUUACCCAGCAAUAAAUUCAAAUCAUAUACAAAAAUAGGAAACUUCUUCAAAAAUAAAUGCCCUAACAAUAUAUUGACAGAUUGAUAUCUAAGGGGAACACCUAAUAAUAAUGCGUAGCUCGGAUUCCACUACCGAUUGAGCAUACCGAAUCUCGAGUGAAAAGCACACGAGUCCUAAUAGAACAAGCAACUUUGUUUAGCUAUCCUACAAAAAGACAUGAUUUCAGAUCCUAAUAUAAUUGAAAUUCACAAGAUUAACAUGAACAAAGAAACCUAUUGCAAGUAGUCUUCAAGCUCAUUAUGAACUCCAAGAAUCGUGAUUCUUUGGCACUUCUUAUAUGCUCAAAACUAUAUUGAUGCUUCAGUCCACCCACCUUCCCUAAAUCAAAUCCAGGCAAUGAGAUCAUGUUUCUUUGAAUUGCUUGUUUUGCUAAAUUAUCUGCAAUAUUAUUAGCACUUUUUCUUACAUGUUUGAAGAUCGUGUGUUGGAAGGAUUUCAACAAAUUACAAAUUUUAUAAACCCCUAUGAAAAGUUAUGGGGGUUUAUAUAUGCAGGAAAGGGACAGAUUACGAAGAAUGCUUUCCUCCAGUGGACAGAACAGAGUUGAA
rnacentral:misc_RNA from 1 species